GACGUAGGAGGCGAGCGUUGUCCGGAUUCAUUGGGCGUAAAGCGCGCGCAGGCGGUUUUUCAAGUCAGUGGUGAAAGCCCGGAGCUCAACUCCGGAACUGCCAUUGAAACUGUAAAACUUGAGGACGAGAGAGGUGAGUGGAAUUCCCAGUGUAGAGGUGAAAUUCGUAGAUAUCAGGAGGAACACCGGUGGCGAAGGCGGGUCUCUGGGCAGUAACUGACGCUGAGGAGCGAAAGCGUGGGGAGCGAACAGG
rnacentral:rRNA from 1 species